UGGAGCUUCUAGAAGGACUUGACAGGGAAU
rnacentral:piRNA from 1 species